AGAGUUUGAUCCUGGCUCAGAUUGAACGCUGGCGGCAGGCCUAACACAUGCAAGUCGAGCGGUAACAGAAAGUAGCUUGCUACUUUGCUGACGAGCGGCGGACGGGUGAGUAAUGCUUGGGAACAUGCCUUGAGGUGGGGGACAACAGUUGGAAACGACUGCUAAUACCGCAUAAUGUCUACGGACCAAAGGGGGCUUCGGCUCUCGCCUUUAGAUUGGCCCAAGUGGGAUUAGCUAGUUGGUGAGGUAAUGGCUCACCAAGGCAACGAUCCCUAGCUGGUUUGAGAGGAUGAUCAGCCACACUGGAACUGAGACACGGUCCAGACUCCUACGGGAGGCAGCAGUGGGAAAUAUUGCACAAUGGGCGAAAGCCUGAUGCAGCCAUGCCGCGUGUGUGAAGAAGGCCUUCGGGUUGUAAAGCACUUUCAGUCAGGAGGAAAGGGUGUGAGUUAAUACCUCACAUCUGUGACGUUACUGACAGAAGAAGCACCGGCUAACUCCGUGCCAGCAGCCGCGGUAAUACGGAGGGUGCGAGCGUUAAUCGGAAUUACUGGGCGUAAAGCGUACGCAGGCGGUUUGUUAAGCGAGAUGUGAAAGCCCCGGGCUCAACCUGGGAACUGCAUUUCGAACUGCAAACUAGAGUGUGAUAGAGGGUGGUAGAAU
rnacentral:rRNA from 1 species